GACGAACGCUGGCGGCGUGCUUAACACAUGCAAGUCGAACGGAAAGGCCCUGCUUUUGUGGGGUGCUCGAGUGGCGAACGGGUGAGUAACACGUGAGUAACCUGCCCUUGUCUUUGGGAUAACUUCAGGAAACUGGGGCUAAUACCGGAUAGGAGCUCCUGCUGCAUGGUGGGCGUUGGAAAGUUUCGGCGGUUGGGGAUGGACUCGCGGCUUAUCAGCUUGUUGGUGGGGUAGUGGCUUACCAAGGCUUUGACGGGUAGCCGGCCUGAGAGGGUGACCGGCGACAAUGGGACUAAGGUACGGCGCAGUCGCCUACGGGAGGCAGCAGGGGGGAAUAUUGCACAAUGGGCGGAAGCCUGAGGCGGCAACGCCGCGUGCGGGAUGACGUCCUUCUGGUUGUGAACAGCUGUCGCAUGAGACGAAGCGGGAGUGACGGUAAUGGGUAAAGAAGCACCGGCUAACUACGUG
rnacentral:rRNA from 1 species